GAGUUUGAUCCUGGCUCAGAUUGAACGCUGGCGGCAUGCCUUACACAUGCAAGUCGAACGGCAGCACGGGGGGCGACCCCUGGUGGCGAGUGGCGAACGGGUGAGUAAUGCAUCGGAACGUGCCCGGUAGUGGGGGAUAACCCCGAGAAAUCGGGCUAAUACCCGCAUGAGCCCGGGAGGGGAAAGCGGGGGACCUGAUGAGGGCCUCGCGCUAUCGGAGCGGCCGAUGUCCGAUUAGCUGGUUGGUGGGGUAAAGGCCCACCAAGGCGACGAUCGGUAGCGGGUCUGAGAGGACGGCCCGCCACACUGGGACUGAGACACGGCCCAGACUCCUACGGGAGGCAGCAGUGGGGAAUUUUGGACAAUGGGCGAAAGCCUGAUCCACCAUGCCGCGUGCGGGAAGAAGCCUUCGGGUUGUAAACCGUUUCGGCCGGGACGAAAUCGCCCGCAUGAACAGUGUGGGUGGAUGACGGUACUGCAAAAAGACCGGUAACUACGUGCCAGCAGCCCGGGUAAUACGUAGGGUGCGAGCGUUAAUCGGAAUUACUGGGCGUAAAGCGUGCGCAGGCGGCCCUUUAAGUCAGGUGUGAAACCCCCGGCUUAACCUUGGGAAUGGCGCUUGAACUGGAGGCUUUGAAUGCGCAAAAAGGGGGUGGAAUUCUUGGUACGGG
rnacentral:rRNA from 1 species